UGAGGAAUAUUGGUCAAUGGGCGCAAGCCUGAACCAGCCAUGCCGCGUGCAGGAAGACGGUCCUAUGGAUUGUAAACUGCUUUUAUUUGGGAAUAAAUCUCUUUACGUGUAGAGAGCUGAAGGUACAAAAUGAAUAAGCACCGGCUAACUCCGUGUCAGCAGUAGCGGGAAUACGGAGGGUGCAAGCGUUAUCAGGAAUCAUUGGGUUUAAAGGGUCCGCAGGCGGUCUUAUAAGUUAGUGGUGAAAGCCUACAGCUCAACUGUAGAACUGCCCGUGAUACUGUAAGACUUGAGUUCGGUCGAAGUGGGCGGAAUAUCACAUGUAGCGGUGAAGUGCGUAGAUAUAUCAUAGAACACCGGUAGCGAAGGCGGCUCCCUCGGUCUGGAUUGACGCUCAGGGACGAAAGCGUGGGGAGCAAACA
rnacentral:rRNA from 1 species